GUAGAAACACCAGUUCCCGUACGAUCACCGAAGUUAAGCAACGUCGAGCCUGGUCAGUACCAAGAUGCGUGAUCGCAUGGUAAUACCAGGUGCUGUAAG